UCAGUUUAUGAUUCAGUUUUGCUAGCCCGUGCAUGAUGCACAGCUCGUGGACUAUCACGCUAGUGAACACGAAUCGGGAUGGGAAAAGCACAGAUGAGAAGCUUUCCACCGGAUUAAACCCCCGUCCUCUUGAAAGAUUCUAUACUGUCGGUCGUCUUUAGUCGGUGUCGGUUUCCUUUCUCUACAGUGCUCUACACGCGCGAAAAAUCAUACAAAGCAAAACUACUUAAGCUAUCAAGUAAAAUUAUGUGCUUGAAAUGUUUUAUUGGGUUUUAAUUCAGGUCAUUUUACACAUGGAAGUCAGAUGGGAGACAUGAAGACAACAACGGACAAAUGUGUUACAGAGAGUGGCAAGAAUGAAAAUGGAGUCCAGAUGAAAUGGACUUGAAUGAAGCAAUACAGAAUCCGGUGAGACACAGCAAGGUGAGUUUAGCUCUGAUGGAAUAUCAUAUCUAUUUGUCUUGCUCUCACAUAUUGAAGGCCACAUGCUAUAUAUUCAAUCGCUGUUUAUUUGUGUGUUUAUUAUGUUUAAUUAUACAAUAAUAUAUUUGUAAGAUGUGAAGUUAUGUAUUAGAGUCCCUCCGUAUUAGCUUUUGAUUCAAGAUUUUGCAUACGGGGGUAACUAAACACAGUGAGAACAAGCUAAAUGCUACGGAAGUUGGAUGAUAAAUUGACAAUUGACAAUAGUCUACAAUAUAUUGUUAUUGUAAUAGUGUAAGUACUUACAUAUGAUAUAGAUAUAACUAAAAUUACUUAUCUUGAAUAUUCCCCUGCAAACAAAUGGUAAUUCAAAAAGUAUUUGAAUUAUUAUACUCCGAAAUACUCUAUGCAUGAAAACAAUUUAUAAGCUCACAUUGAAUCAUGAAACUUCAUGAAUCUUGAAUCUUGUAAGUUAUUCCCAAAUGCCUUGACCUUUCAUUGGCAACUUCAAGUUUAUGAAAAGCAUCUCUGUCUAAAGGAAGCAUCAAUACAUGGUUUGAUAAUCACAUAGCUCAUUGCUUAAUGACUACCAGCAUAUUGGUUUGCUGGAAUUUCACAGAUCAAUAAAUUCAGAUAUAAAUAUGUAGAUGUUAAAGUGUUAAAUGUUAUUGAUAAAAUGUUAAUACAUUUUAUAGUAGUAAGUGAAUACGUAUAAUUUGCAGCCUUGCUUACCGUAUCAAAUGAUUCAUUUUCAUAAAUGCAAUGAUUAUUUUCUACUUGUAAAUAUGUUAUUUCAAUGAAAAGGAGUGUUAUUCGUUGCUUUGCAGGCGCAUCGGAAAUGUGAAACAGUUAUUCAAAGAAAACAGGUUGGCAUGAAAAUAAACGAGUGAUACUUUG